AUUCCGAACUCCCUGGCCAGC
rnacentral:misc_RNA from 1 species